ACACUCCUGCGGGAGGCAGCAGUGGGGAAUAUUGGACAAUGGGCGCAAGCCUGAUCCAGCCAUGCCGCGUGAGUGAUGAAGGCCCUAGGGUUGUAAAGCUCUUUCACCGGUGAAGAUAAUGACGGUAACCGGAGAAGAAGCCCCGACUAACUUCGUGCCAGCAGCCGCGGUAAUACGAAGGGGGCUAGCGUUGUUCGGAUUUACUGGGCGUAAAGCGCACGUAGGCGGACUAUUAAGUCAGGGGUGAAAUCCCGGGGCUCAACCCCGGAACUGCCUUUGAUACUGGUAGUCUUGAGUUCGAGAGAGGUGAGUGGAAUUCCGAGUGUAGAGGUGAAAUUCGUAGAUAUUCGGAGGAACACCAGUGGCGAAGGCGGCUCACUGGCUCGAUACUGACGCUGAGGUGCGAAAGCGUGGGGAGCAAACAGGAUUAGAUACCCCGGUAGUCCCAUGA
rnacentral:rRNA from 1 species